rnacentral:ncRNA from 1 species
CGGGAUUCGUCCCGGGAUAGGAAUGUGGCUCAUCUACUGAGCUGAACCUGAAG